GCAUUGUAGCCCAAGGGAUUUUGGUUAAAUGUCAUGUUUUGGUCCCAGGCUUGGGGAUGUUAAAGAGGGGAUUGGCCACCUACAUCAAGGAAAACAGGAAGAGAAUGAAGAGAAGGAAAAAGAACAUAAUAGAUUUUCUCACCAAUGGUUUUAUCCAUUGUUGAGGAAAUCUAUUAUGUUCUCAUCCCUUUCCUCCAGCUGCAUUGCACCAACAGUGAGUUAGAUUCCACCUCUCAAGAAGAAGGGUGUUUCCAUCUUCAGGCAUCAAUUAAUGAUGCAAAUAGUGCACCAUUCUUCAAAGAAGACUUCUUUGGAAGUCAUGGAACUUUCAUCACUUAUAAAAGAUUCUCACACAAGAAGACUAGACUGUGAGAACAUUGAACUGCGGACAAUCAGUGUUGUAAUAAUAUUACGAUGUAAAGCGCUCCUGGGCGGUGGCGUGCCCAAAUAAACAGGUCUUUGUUGGCAGUAAGACGGACAAACGUUUUCG
rnacentral:lncRNA from 1 species